rnacentral:rRNA from 1 species
UGCAGUCGUGCGAAUUGACGAAGUACUUGUACUUCUGACGUUAGCGGCGAACGGGUGAGUAACACGUAAGGAAUCUACCUAUAAGCGGGGGAUAACAUUCGGAAACGGAUGCUAAUACCGCAUAAUACAUAUUUCCGCAUGGAAAUACGUUGAAAGACGGCUCUGCUGUCACUUAUAGAUGACCUUGCGGUGCAUUAGUUAGUUGGUGGGGUAAUGGCCUACCAAGACGAUGAUGCAUAGCCGACCUGAGAGGGUGAUCGGCCACAUUGGGACUGAGACACGGCCCAAACUCCUACGGGAGGCAGCAGUAGGGAAUCUUCCGCAAUGGGCGAAAGCCUGACGGAGCAAUGCCGCGUGAGUGAAGAAGGCCUUCGGGUCGUAAAACUCUGUUAUAAGAGAAGAACAAAUUGUAGAGUAACUGCUACAGUCUUGACGGUAUCUUAUCAGAAAGCCACGGCUAACUACGUGCCAGCAGCCGCGGUAAUACGUAGGUGGCAAGCGUUGUCCGGAUUUAUUGGGCGUAAAGGGAGCGCANGUGGUUUCUUAAGUCUGAUGUGAAAGCCCACGGCUUAACCGUGGAGGGUCAUUGGAAACUGGGAAACUUGAGUACAGAAGAGGAAUGUGGAACUCCAUGUGUAGCGGUGGAAUGCGUAGAUAUAUGGAAGAACACCAGUGGCGAAAGCGACAUUCUGGUCUGUUACUGACACUGANGCUCGAAAGCGUGGGGAGCAACAGGAUAGAUACCCUGGUAGUCCACGCCCUAACGAUGAUGCUAAGUGUUGGAGGGUUCCGCCUUCAGUGCGCAGCUAAGCAUUAGCACUCC